CUACGGGAGGCUGCAGUGGGGAAUAUUGCACAAUGGAGGAAACUCUGAUGCAGCAACGCCGCGUGGAGGAUGACACUUUUCGGAGCGUAAACUCCUUUUAUAUAGGAAGAAGAUGACGGUACUAUAUGAAUAAGCGCCGGCUAACUCCGUGCCAGCAGCCGCGGUAAUACGGAGGGCGCAAGCGUUACUCGGAAUCACUGGGCGUAAAGAGCGUGUAGGCGGAUUAAAAAGUCAGAAGUGAAAUCCUAUAGCUUAACUAUAGAACUGCUUCUGAAACUCUUAAUCUAGAAUAUGGGAGAGGUAGAUGGAAUUUCUGGUGUAGGGGUAAGAUCCGUAGAGAUCAGAAGGAAUACCGAUUGCGAAGGCGACCUACUAGAACAUUAUUGACGCUGAGACGCGAAAGCGUGGGGAGCAAACAGGAUUAGAUACCCCGGUAGUC
rnacentral:rRNA from 1 species